CCCCGGUAAACGGCGGCCGUAACUAUAACGGUCCUAAGGUAGCGAAAUUCCUUGUCGGGUAAGUUCCGACCUGCACGAAUGGCGUAAUGAUGGCCAGGCUGUCUCCACCCGAGACUCAGUGAAAUUGAACUCGCUGUGAAGAUGCAGUGUACCCGCGGCAAGACGGAAAGACCCCGUGAACCUUUACUAUAGCUUGACACUGAACAUUGAGCCUUGAUGUGUAGGAUAGGUGGGAGGCUUUGAAGUGUGGACGCCAGUCUGCAUGGAGCCGACCUUGAAAUACCACCCUUUAAUGUUUGAUGUUCUAACGUGGACCCGUAAUCCGGGUUGCGGACAGUGUCUGGUGGGUAGUUUGACUGGGGCGGUCUCCUCCUAAAGAGUAACGGAGGAGCACGAAGGUUGGCUAAUCCUGGUCGGACAUCAGGAGGUUAGUGCAAUGGCAUAAGCCAGCUUG
rnacentral:rRNA from 1 species